rnacentral:rRNA from 1 species
UACGGAGGGUGCAAGCGUUAUCCGGAUUCACUGGGUUUAAAGAGUGCGUAGGUGGGCAAGUAAGUCAGUGGUGAAAUCUCCGGGCUUAACCCGGAAACUGCCAUUGAUACUAUUUGUCUUGAAUACUGUGGAGGUCAGCGGAAUAUGUCAUGUAGCGGUGAAAUGCUUAGAUAUGACAUAGAACACCAAUUGCGAAGGCAGCUGGCUACACAAAUAUUGACACUGAGGCACGAAAGCGUGGGGAUCAAACAGG